rnacentral:tRNA from 1 species
GGAUGGAUGCCCGAGCGGACGAAGGGACCGGUCUUGAAAACCGGCGUGCGGCAACGUACCGGGGGUUCGAAUCCCUCUCCAUCCG